rnacentral:misc_RNA from 1 species
CCCACAACCAAUUUUGUAUCACUAACCCAUAUUUAAUUACAUAUUAGAUGUACUUAAACUGCAGUGUUUUCUCACAAACAAAAAAGAGGAAGAAGAUCACCAAACUAUAGCACCAAUAUUGUAUCAAGUUGCACCAAGUUAUGAUAAAAAACUUGAAGGAUGAUUGAUUUUUCUCUCGUGUACCAGCCGAAUUUCAUAGCAGAAGCUUCGAAAGGAUUCUAAUG